GACGAACGCUGGCGGCGUGCUUAACACAUGCAAGUCGAACGGAAAGGCCCUGCUUGCCGGGUACUCGAGUGGCGAACGGGUGAGUAACACGUGGGUGAUCUGCCCUGCACUUCGGGAUAAGCCUGGGAAACUGGGUCUAAUGCCGGAUAGGAGCCAUUUUUAGUGUGAUGGUUGGAAAGUUUUUUCGGUGUAGGAUGAGCUCGCGGCCUAUCAGCUUGUUGGUGGGGUAAUGGCCUACCAAGGCGGCGACGGGUAGCCGGCAUGAGAGGGUGGACGGCCACAUUGGGACUGAGAUACGGCCCAGACUCCUACGGGAGGCAGCAGUGGAGAAAAUUGCACAAUGGGCGCAAGCCUGAUGCAGCGACGCCGCGUGGGGGAUGACGGCCUUCGGGUUGUAAACACCUUUCGCUAGGGACGAAGCUUUUUGUGACGGUACCUAGAUAAGAAGCACCGGCUAACUACGUG
rnacentral:rRNA from 1 species